UCUAAAUGAAAGAAAGAAAAAAGACAGAUUGAAAAAAACAGCCCAAUAAUCUAUAGACAAGUCGAUCAGAGCCCAGUUAUAUUUAUAUAUUGAAAUUCGCAUGAAUUGGCAACAACAAUUGUAUUUAUUGUAUGUAUUAAUUAAUGUAAUUUAUUUAAUUUUAUAUUUCGCCAAACAAACGCAAUUCUAAUUUUAUUUCACGCCCCCCCUCGAAAUGUCCAUGAAAUGGUUGUGGCCGGGCAUCGUAGUAAAAAGAUAAACAUCUAUAGCAUCUGUAAUAGUAGCGAUUACGUACCUAUCCAAAUAUCCAAAUCCGAUUCCAAAUCCACUUCCCAGUCCAAAUUCAAAUUAAUGUCAAGGGUCAGGCACCAUAGGCAAUAAUAUGACUAAAUAUAUAUUUUACUGCAAUAUAGCCAAAAGCAAAGAAAUAAAUAACGA